GUGGGGAAUAUUGGACAAUGGGCGAAAGCCUGAUCCAGCAAUGCCGCGUGAGUGAUGAAGGCCUUAGGGUUGUAAAGCUCUUUUACCCGGGAUGAUAAUGACAGUACCGGGAGAAUAAGCUCCGGCUAACUCCGUGCCAGCAGCCGCGGUAAUACGGAGGGAGCUAGCGUUGUUCGGAAUUACUGGGCGUAAAGCGCACGUAGGCGGCUUUGUAAGUUAGAGGUGAAAGCCUGGAGCUCAACUCCAGAACUGCCUUUAAGACUGCAUCGCUUGAAUCCAGGAGAGGUGAGUGGAAUUCCGAGUGUAGAGGUGAAAUUCGUAGAUAUUCGGAAGAACACCAGUGGCGAAGGCGGCUCACUGGACUGGUAUUGACGCUGAGGUGCGAAAGCGUGGGGAGCAAACAGGAUUAGAAACCCCAGUAGUCC
rnacentral:rRNA from 1 species